AAAGUCGUAACAAGGUUUCCGUAGGUGAACCUGCGGAAGGAUCAUUACCUGGCCUUGGGCCGCUCGGGGGAGCCAGUCGCUUGCGACGACGCUGCCUUGGGCGCUUAGCCCUUGACUAUCACCUUGACUACGUGCACCUUUUGUUGUUUCCUCGGCAGGUCAUCUGCCGCCAGGAACCCCCUAAACCUUUUUGCAAUAGCAUCUACACUUCUGAAAACAAACCAAAUCAUUUACAACUUUUAACAAUGGAUCUCUUGGUUCUG
rnacentral:misc_RNA from 1 species